GCCACGUAUCAAUUUUCUUUCCAUCUUCUUCUUCGUUGUCAUAUUAUACGCUGUCUUAUUCUCUAUUUUCCUCUUUGAUAGAAUUCUUCUAUAUUUCAUUGAAUAUAAUUUAUAUUUAGAAUUAAAUCAAGUAUGAUAUACCGGUAGAAAUGAACGAAAGUAAUCUGAUAGCUUGUGUUUGGCUGUGUUUUUGUGAGAUGCUAGAGGUUAGCAGCCCCAUAUACAUCGUAGCAGUAUGUAAUUUGGUACGAAAUCAAAUGGUUGUUUGCUACUGAUACUUCAUUGUUGGGGAAGCUAAAAUAUCAAAGAGGGAAUUUUGAUGCUGACCUUCAAGUGUUUCAGGGAAUAUCUAUUCGAACCUUGUCCUUGAGAAUGUCUAAAUCCAUUGCUGAGGGAACGAGGCCAUUAAAACCACUCUCCAAAGGUGAUGUUGUGCCUGUUGGCAUGAUGUUACUGCAUUCCGUGAGUCUACUUCUUCAAGCAAAUUUGCUUAAAGCAAAAUCCUUAGAGGAGCUGAGCCGAAUCAAAGGUGGAUGACAAAUGUUCUGCUUGGGUUGCAAUUCAAGCAAUUGAUUUUAUCGGUAAACAAGUCCAAGUUGUUACUGAAUAUGGAAAGAAAGUGAGGCACUAAAACUUAUAUCAAAUUGAUGCUUAACUUGACAAGGAUAGUCCUUGAUGAGUUCGAGAUUAGUGGAGGAGAAAGGCUUUGCUGUGGCCAACAAGAUAGAUACUGAAGGUUCUAGCUCGAGUGCGCCUCAGCUUGAUUGACUCGGGCGAUUGUUGUAGCUUCCAAGGUAGCGGUUGGACAUUCAUGAGUCCGAAGUUCACCUCUAUCUUUCUAUAGUAGUUAUGUCUUUAUUAGUAUUCGGAGACUGUUAUUAUUCUUUUGUGGUUAUGGAUUGUAUAUGGGUUGACGAACCCUUCAUGGGUUCUGCGUCGGGAAGCUUUAGCUCUGUAGGUGUAUACGGGGAUUAUGCGAUGAUCCCGGAGGUUGUGCGACGACCUCGUGCAUCAUCAUCAUCAUAUACAUUUCACUUACUUUAUUGUAUUUAUGUUGUGUUGUAUUGCCUUAUUGACUUGUCAUUUAUUUAUUUGUCUUACCUUCCUUUCCUUGUAUUUGAUGGUCUUGUAUCUACAUGUUCUCUCUUGUUCUAUUAUAUGUGACAUAAUGUAUACUUGUGUUCUAUAUCUUGGUGUGUUGGUGUGUUGUUGUAAUAUAUGUGAGAUAUAUUAGAACUGUUAGUGCAAGUGAUGUGGGCUACCGUUGUGGGAUAUUUUCUUAUUGCAGGUGACGUGCCCUUAGUGUAUAUUUUGUAUGCUUUAUUUACUAUUUUGCUUGGUUGGCCUAUGAUACCUACCGAGUACAAGUGGACUGUACUCAUACCUACUGCGCCCUUUCGGUGCAAUUCCUAGCUCGAGCGCACCUCAGCUUGCUAGGCUCAGGCAAUUGUUGGAGCUUCCAAGGUAGCGGUUGGGCAUUCAUGCGUCCGGAGUUCACUUCUAUCUUUCUAUAGUAGUUAUGUCUUUAUUAGUAUGUAGAGACAAAUAUUAUUCCUUUAUGGUUAUUUUUCUGAUGUAUUUGACUCCUGGAUUGUAUUAGUAGUUCUUACACUAUUGACACUUGGUUUUGGGCAUGACUAAUAUUUUGAAUAAAUUCUUUCCGCAGUGUUAUGAUUACUUGUAUGGUUCGUCUUCAUUCUAGAAGCCUUACCUUGAGGUAUUUUUAUUUUUUUCUCUUUUUGUAUCAGUUUGGGUGAUAGGCUUACUUGUCAAGGUACGCCGCUACAAGUGUCAUCAUGACCCUCAUUCGUACUUUGAUAAGUUUAAUCUUGAUGUAUAAUAUUAGAUGUUUUCAAUCAACUGCCGUAGCUUGUUCUCUGAAUCUAAAUUAGCAAAUUUCACUCUUUCUUAUACCUGUUACUUUUUAUUGGGCUUGAAGCCACUAUUCCUAUUAUUUUGGGAUGCCGGUACAAUUAAUUUUGAUGUUAUGAUACCCAAAAAUAGCUCUUAACUAGAAAAAUGCCGGUGUCUAAUUUUUUUUCUGAUAUUAUGUCUUUUUUUAUACUUUGUAGGUUAUAUUCAUGAGUAGAGAAUUUAUAUUGGCUCUAUCUUUUGCUGAAAUAAUGUGGUGACCUCAUUUUUUUUUUGUUGUGUAGACUGUGUAGCUGAAUGUACUGUUUUAGUGGAUGCUAAUGCAUAGUUGUGUCAUUUUCAGUACAAUCAUCUGAACAAUGUACCGAUUAAUGACCAGUACAGGAGCAAUGCUACUGCUACUCAGUUGUUACUGGUGGCAGUGGUGGAGGCAGAAAGACGAUGGGUAGGUGGUUGAAGGAUAGAAGGGAGAAGAAGAAAAAUGGGAUGAGGGCACCUAAUGCACUUCUGCAUGUUACUGUAUCGGUUACAGGAGUUAGCAGCUUGAUAACGGCUACAACAGCCUCAUCUGGUAGCGGAAAGGAUGAGCAGAUGGUUAAAACUGAUAUGGUUGUGGCUUCUGCUGCAUCCAUUGUAGCAACAUAACGUGCUAAAGCUGCUGAAGCUAUGGGAGUUGAGUGCGAGCAUCUUGCAUCAAUGAUUAGUUUUGCUGUGAAGGUUCAAUCUGCAGGGGAUAUUAUGACAUUAACUACAGCUGCAGCUACUGGAACCGUCCGUUCGACUCCUCCUACAUAGUGAUUGACUCAGAGACAACAUUUGGAUUGAAGUAGAGAGCUUCUAUCUUUCUGGAAGGCUCCAUUUCAUGAUAGCGAUAUUCUUAAGACAUUUUAUUUUUAUUUUGGACAUUAGUUUUGGCCAUGAUUGGGGGCAUGUCCCAAUCGGAUAUUUGUAUUAUUUUGGAUAGAGGCUUUGUGGUACUUUUGAAAAUUGGUAUGGGCGGGAUCAGUAUUAGUGUCGGCCUUAUGCAGGCCUUAGCAGUGGCAUUAGUGUUGGGUCUGACUAUAUUGUUGGUUGUUUCAUCGUAUUAUGUUUUGGGAUUGAUUGUCAUAUGUUUUGAUAUUCUCUCUGGUUUGGUA